GCCGCGCCCGCAGCCCCGCCCCGCGCGGACCCUCGGGGUCCUCCGGGAAGUGUUGGUGGAGCAACGUGUGUUCGCUGGGAUUGGCUGGCGCCUCGGCGUGAGGGGUCCCGAUUGGCCGCCGCGGAUGGACCGAUGCCGCGUGGGUCUGGGCUGGCCCGGGCCGGACUGAGUUCCCUGCGUGUGUGGGUUUGCCCGUGGGCUUGGUUCAGAGCCAGUGUGCCAGGGCCAACUGAUUGGGAAAGAAAGGUUUGUGCGAGGCUGCGGGGAGAUAUCACAAAUGAGGAAGGAUGGUGAGGGACCAGGGCCGCUAGUGUCCGUUGUGAAGAUCCCAAGUGGGGCGCCGGCAAGGCAGGCAGGCUGCCAAGUCUGCACAUCCUUAUAGAAAGCUCUGCAAGUCAAAGCGAUGAACAUUUGACUGGGGUUCCCAGAUCCAGUUGAUGACAUCAUCUACGACACAACUCCAGCACCAAGACUCAGGAACAUCCUGGAAGAGAGCUUAGAAAGCUCCUAAGAGCCACAGAACCAGGAAGUCUGCUGUGAGAUUGUGCCUUCUAACUAUGAUGGGGACAACUACACCAAUGAAGUCUCUGCAGUAUGACAGCCUGAACAAGACCUGAAUGAUUCCAACAACGGUUGACAUCCACUGUAGAUGGGGAACUCUCACAGGGUCCACUCUUUGACUGUUAACAACUGCUCAGGGAGGGAGAAAGAGCCUCCCUGGGCACAGGACCUCUCAUUGGUUAUCCAGUGCCACGUGCUCAGCCCCGGAGCACACAGGCAGGCAACACUGAAUGGAUUUGACUCACAGUUCUUCUCAUCAAUACCAGUAAAAUGCACGGUGUUUGUCUGGACACAGAACCCUCCAAAUCAAGACCAUUUUCAAACUUUUCAUGUAGCUGCAUUUCUGAUGUGAAUUACUUUCUACCAAUUGGAUGACUUCUUGAAAUAUUUGAAAGGUUCCACCCCCACCCCCACUCUCUGGUCUUCAUUCCCACUGACUGACUGCUUCCACUUGAUCCUGGUGACCCUUCAUUUGGAGGCUAUGAUUCUCCCCAGGCUUGUCCACUUCUCGGUGGCUUUUGAAUUAAGUUCCUGCUGGCUCUGCACUCUCUUUAAGAAACUUCUUCAUCAACUUCCAUUCCUGAAGUCUAUCUUUUCCACGUUUGAAGCUCAACCAGCAAGCUUCGGAUCAGUGCGGAGCCUUUUAGAUUUCAGACUCAGGAGUGUACAUGAUGUACAUGUUUGCCUUGUGUAGAACAGACUGGUUGGAGGCUCUGUUCUGAAACUACACUGUGGGGGUUCGCCGGUUUAUAGUUCACCGACCAUGGAGCAAAUUGUUAUCCGUUAUCUCCAAAAAUCAAGCGUGAGAGAACCUGCCUCAAAGAGUUGUUAUGGAGAUUAAAUGUAAGUAAUAAAAGCAUUCAGAAUAUGAUCUGAUAUCCAGUACACAAUCAAUGUUAGCUAUUAUAAUGAUUGCCCUCAUAUACUCAGAACCAUGAUCCAAUCUUACGUCUCUAUUUGGAAAACUCAGUUUAAUGGAUCAUCAGGAAGCAUUCUGAAAUGGCCCCUAAAUUUAGCUUCCUCAUAGUUACUCUCUUUAGUUAAUCUGGAUUUUUCAUGAUCUAGGCCGCAAAUAAUUUAACAUUUGAGAAAAAAAUUAAAAUUUCAAUUGCAAAGUCCAAUUUUGACCACUAGAUGGAAAUAAAACA